rnacentral:tRNA from 1 species
GGUCGGGAUAGCUCAGCUGGUAGAGCAGAGGACUGAAAAUCCACGUGCA